rnacentral:tRNA from 1 species
GGGGUAUUAGCUCAGCGGGAGAGCGCUUGACUCACAUUCAAGAGGUCACUGGUUCGAAACCAGUAUGCCCCACCA